UUUGUCUUUGACAUUGACAAUUGAAAAUUGAUUAUUUCAUAAUUUUUUGAGGUUAUUGUUUUGGUUUGGAUUUGAAUUAGAACCAAUAUUAAUUUUAAAAUUAAAAAGAGUUAUUAUCAUAUUACUAGUAGAUUAUGUAACAAAAGUUAUUUAAUUCCAAAGCAAUUGAGGAUAUAAGUUCUGUAAUCGAUUGGACAUAGCCAAUAUGCAGCGUAUAAUUUCAGCAACUAAAGCCCUUCUAGGUUCACAUAUUAUUCCUAAAAGCUAUGAUGUAUUCACUGCCAAUUUUAGUAUGUUCCAAAGAGAAACGAAAAAUAAACUAUUGCCUGUUUGUUUACCAAUAAUGAAUUCCGUCUCUGGUUUCAAAGUAAGAGGUCGAGUAAAUCGUCGUUGCAAAUCCUGCUAUUUUGUAACUA
rnacentral:lncRNA from 1 species